CAGCCGCCGCGGUAAUACAGAGGGUGCGAGCGUUAAUCGGAUUUACUGGGCGUGAAGCGUGCGUAGGCGGCUAAUUGAGUCGGAUGUGAAAUCCCCGAGCUUAACUUGGGAAUUGCAUUCGAUACUGGUUAGCUAGAGUGUGGGAGAGGAUGGUAGAAUUCCAGGUGUAGCGGUGAAAUGCGUAGAGAUCUGGAGGAAUACCGAUGGCGAAGGCAGCCAUCUGGCCUAACACUGACGCUGAGGUACGAAAGCAUGGGGAGCAAACAGGAUUAGAUACCCGAGUAGUCCCUGUCUCUUAUAA
rnacentral:rRNA from 1 species